rnacentral:rRNA from 1 species
ACGGGGCGCACCAGGCGCGAAAACUCCGCAAUGCACGAAAGUGUGACGGGGUCAACCCGAGUGCCAACUGAAAAAGUUGGCUUUUCACCGGUGUAAGCAGCCGGUGGAAUAAGGGGAGGGCAAGGCUGGUGCCAGCCGCCGCGGUAAAACCAGCUCCUCGAGUAGUCAAGACGAUUAUUGGGCCUAAAGCGUCCGUAGCCGGUCCGGUAAGUCUCUGGUUAAAUCUAACGGCUCAACCGUUAGGCUGCUAGAGAUACUGCUGGACUUGGAGGCGGGAGAGGUCGAGGGUACUCUCAGGGUAGGGGUGAAAUCCAAUAAUCCUGAGAGGACCACCAGUGGCGAAGGCGCUCGACUGGAACGCGCUCGACGGUGAGGGACGAAAGCUAGGGGAGCGAACCGGAUUAGAUACCCGGGUAGUCCUAGCUGUAAACGAUGUGGACUAAGUGUUAGGGCGGCCACGAGCUGCCCUAGUGCUGGAGGGAAGCCGUUAAGUCCACCGCCUGGGGAGUACGGCCGCAAGGCUGAAACUUAAAGGAAUUGGCGGGGGAGCAGCUGCAU